CCAGGUGGGGAGUUUGACU
rnacentral:miRNA from 1 species